rnacentral:rRNA from 1 species
GCGAGUCUUUGCAGUAAUGCAAGGCAUACGGCUCAGUAACACAUAGUCAACUUACCCUAUGGACGAGGAUAAUCUCGGGAAACUGAGCAUAAUACUCGAUAGAUCAUAAUGCCUGGAAUGGUUUAUGGUUGAAAUGAUUCGUCGCCAUAGGAUGGGACUGCGGCCUAUCAGCUUGUUGGUGAGGUAAUGGCCCACCAAGGCGAUUACAGGUACGGGCUCUGAGAGGAGAAGCCCGGAGAUGGGUACUGAGACAAGGACCCAGGCCCUAUGGGGCGCAGCAGGCGAGAAAACUUUGCAAUGUGCGAAAGCACGACAAGGUUAAUCCGAGUGAUUUCUGCUAAAGAAAUCUUUUGCAAGUCAUAAAACCACUAGUGAAUAAGGGGUGGGCAAGUUCUGGUGUCAGCCGCCGCGGUAAAACCAGCACCUCAAGUGGUCAGGAGGAUUAUUGGGCCUAAAGCAUCCGUAGCCGGCUCUGUAAGUUUUCGGUUAAAUCCGUGUGCUCAACGCAUGGGCUGCCGAAAAUACUGCAUAGCUAGGGAGUGGGAGAGGUAGACGGUACUCGGUAGGAAGGGGUAAAAUCCUUUGAUCUAUCGAUGACCACCUGUGGCGAAGGCGGUCUACCAGAACACGUUCGACGGUGAGGGAUGAAAGCUGGGGGAGCAAACCGGAUUAGAUACCCGGGUAGUCCCAGCUGUAAACGAUGCA